rnacentral:rRNA from 1 species
UUGAACGCUGGCGGUAUGCUUUACACAUGCAAGUCGAACGGCAGCACGGGGCAACCUGGUGGCGAGUGGCGAACGGGUGAGUAAUAUAUCGGAACAUGUCCGGAAGUGGGGGAUAACGUAGCGAAAGUUACGCUAAUACCGCAUAUGCCCUGAGGGGGAAAGGAGGGGAUCCGCAAGGACCUUUCGCUUUCGGAGUGGCCGAUAUCGGAUUAGCUAGUAGGUGAGGUAAAGGCUCACCUAGGCGACGAUCCGUAGCGGGUCUGAGAGGACGACCCGCCACACUGGAACUGAGACACGGUCCAGACUCCUACGGGAGGCAGCAGUGGGGAAUUUUGGACAAUGGGCGCAAGCCUGAUCCAGCCAUACCGCGUGAGUGAAGAAGGCCUUCGGGUUGUAAAGCUCUUUCAGCCGGAAAGAAAUCGCGUUUAUUAAUACUAAACGUGGAUGACGGUACCGGAAGAAGAAGCACCGGCUAACUACGUGCCAGCAGCCGCGGUAAUACGUAGGGUGCGAGCGUUAAUCGGAAUUACUGGGCGUAAAGCGUGCGCAGGCCGUUUUCUAAGACAGAUGUGAAAUCCCCGGGCUUAACCUGGGAACUGCAUUUGUGACUGGAAGACUAGAGUGUAGCAGAGGGGGGUAGAAUUCCACGUGUAGCAGUGAAAUGCGUAGAGAUGUGGAGGAAUACCGAUGGCGAAGGCAGCCCCCUGGGCUAACACUGACGCUCAUGCACGAAAGCGUGGGGAGCAAACAGGAUUAGAUACCCUGGUAGUCCACGCCCUAAACGAUGUCAACUAGGUGUUGGGGAAGGAGACUUCUUUAGUACCGCAGCUAACGCGUGAAGUGACCGC